UAUACGCUGGCGGCGUGCAUAACACAUUCAAGGUCGAACGGGUGAUGACCUUCGGGUCUGAUCAGUGGCGGACGGGUGAGUAACGCGUGAGCAAUCUACCUCUUGGUGAGGGAUAACAACCGGAAACAGUUGCUAAUACCUCAUGAAACGGCAAUCUCGCAUGGGAUAACCGUCAAAGAUUUAUUGCCAAGAGAUGAGCUUGCGUCUGAUUAGCUUGUUGGCGGGGUAACGGCCCACCAAGGCAACGAUCAGUAGGGGUUCUGAGAGGAAGGUCCCCCACAUUGGAACUGAGACACGGUCCAAACUCCUACGGGAGGCAGCAGUGAGGAAUAUUGGUCAAUGGUCGAAGGACUGAACCAGCCAUGCCGCGUGAAGGUGACGGCCCUAUGGGUCUUAAACUUCUUUUGUAAGGGAGCAAUAAGAUCUACGUGUAGAUUGAUGAGAGUACCUUACGAAUAAGCAUCGGCUAACUCCGUG
rnacentral:rRNA from 1 species